GCACAAGUUGUUGUUAGGGCUUCUUUACAAUCUAGUGUACAAAACUGUGCAGGAGCUGAAAGACUUUAUGUCCACAAAGACAUAUACGCUUCAUUUGUAGCUGCGGUUGUCAAGAUUGUUAAAUCUGUCUCAGCUGGUCCUCCACAACUUGGAAAAUACGACAUGGAUGCGAUUUAUGAGGAACCUGUUGAUCCAUCGGUGAAAGUAGGACGCUGUAGUGUGGAUGUCCUGAAACAACUUAGUAUGGAUGUAGUGUCACUUGGGAUCAAGAAUCGCAUGAAUAAACUAACAAACCAUCUGCUGAGUCGACACAGGCAUGUUUUCAAAAUUCAAAAAAUAUUUUUCUUUUUUCAUUUUCUUAAUUUAAUAUUUUUACGUUUGUGACAACAACUUUUAUCCUCUGUACCCACCCGUGGAAGACACUCCUGUGGACUUGUCACUUGCUCCAGAAGCCCCUUCAAAAUCGUCGAUGGUCCCGCUAGCUCCGCUGUCGGAAAUCCAGAUGAAAUUGCAAAACUUUUCCCAUCCCUGUUUGGGCAACCAUCAACAAUAUUGGUGCCAGGUAAAUCUAAUGAAUCAGGAUCUGCCUUGAAGAUAGGAGUUGUGUUGUCAGGAGGACAAGCACCAGGAGGGCAUAAUGUUAUAUAUCUGGGAUUUUUGGUUAGGAUUUUGAACUUCCAUUUCCUAUUGUUCAUACUUUUCACACUUCAUAUGAUAGAUUGAAGGAUUGACUAGUAAACAUCAUCAAUAUUGGUGCCAGGUGAAUCUAAUUAGUAAAGAAAGUUGAAGGAUUGACUAGUAAACAUAAAAGUAGAAUGAAAAUGACAAGUGAUUUUGUGUUGUGUUUACAGGGUUGAUGAAAGCGAAUAGCUCUCGAGUUAGAAGUGGAAAAGAAAGCUCAAGCCUAAAGAGAUAAGAUGCUGAAA